GGCGCAUAAGUAACAGGUCGUAGACCCGAAACCAGGUGAUCUACCCAUGUCCAGGAUGAAGGUAAGGUAAUACUUACUGGAGGUCCGAACCCACGCACGUUGAAAAGUGCGGGGAUGAGGUGUGGGUAGCGGAGAAAUUCCAAUCGAACUUGGAGAUAGCUGGUUCUCUCCGAAAUAGCUUUAGGGCUAGCCUCGAGGUAAAGAGUCAUGGAGGUAGAGCACUGUUUGGACUAGGGGCCCUUCUCGGGUUACCGAAUUCAGAUAAACUCCGAAUGCCAUGUACUUAUACUCGGGAGUCAGACUGCGAGUGAUAAGAUCCGUAGUCGAAAGGGAAACAGCCCAGACCACCAGUUAAGGUCCCCAAAUAUAUGUUAAGUGGAAAAGGAUGUGGGGUUGCUUAGACAACCAGGAUGUUGGCUUAGAAGCAGCCACCAUUGAAAGAGUGCGUAAUAGCUCACUGGUCGAGUGACCCCGCGCCGAAAAUGUACCGGGGCUAAACAUAUUACCGAAACUGUGGAUGAACCUCUUUAGAGGUUCGUGGUAGGAGAGCGUUCUAAGGGCGGUGAAGUCAGACCGGAAGGACUGGUGGAGCGCUUAGAAGUGAGAAUGCCGGUAUGAGUAGCGAAAGAAGGGUGAGAAUCCCUUCCACCGAAUAUCUAAGGUUUCCUGAGGAAGGCUCGUCCGCUCAGGGUUAGUCGGGACCUAAGCCGAGGCCGAUAGGCGUAGGCGAUGGACAACAGGUAGAGAUUCCUGUACCAGUGCUAAUUGUUUAACCGAUGGGGUGACACAGAAGGAUAGGGAAUCGCACGAAUGGAAAUGUGCGUCCAAGCAGUGAGUGUGAGAAGUAGGCAAAUCCGCUUCUCGCGAAGCAUGAGCUGUGAUGGGGAAGGAAAUUAAGUACGGAAGUUCCUGAUUUCACGCUGUCAAGAAAAGCCUCUAGGAAGAGUAGUACUGCCCGUACCGCAAACCGACACAGGUAGAUGAGGAGAGAAUCCUAAGGUGAGCGAGAGAACUCUCGUUAAGGAACUCGGCAAAAUGACCCCGUAACUUCGGGAGAAGGGGUGCUCUAUUAGGGUGCAAGCCCGAGAGAGCCGCAGUGAAUAGGCCCAGGCGACUGUUUAGCAAAAACACAGGUCUCUGCAAAACCGUAAGGUGACGUAUAGGGGCUGACGCCUGCCCGGUGCUGGAAGGUUAAGAGGAGUGCUUAGCUUCGGCGAAGGUACGAAUUGAAGCCCCAGUAAACGGCGGCCGUAACUAUAACGGUCCUAAGGUAGCGAAAUUCCUUGUCGGGUAAGUUCCGACCCGCACGAAAGGCGCAACGAUCUGGGCACUGUCUCAACGAGAGACUCGGUGAAAUUAUAGUACCUGUGAAGAUGCAGGUUACCCGCGACAGGACGGAAAGACCCCGUGGAGCUUUACUGCAACCUGAUAUGGAAUGUUUGUACCGCUUGUACAGGAUAGGUAGGAGCCGAAGAGACGUGUGCGCUAGCAUACGAGGAGGCAAUGGUGGGAUACUACCCUGGCUGUAUGACCAUUCUAACCCGCCACGCUUAGCGCGUGGGGAGACAGUGUCAGGUGGGCAGUUUGACUGGGGCGGUCGCCUCCUAAAGAGUAACGGAGGCGCCCAAAGGUUCCCUCAGAAUGGAUGGAAAUCAUUCGCAGAGUGUAAAGGCACAAGGGAGCUUGACUGCGAGACUGACAAGUCGAGCAGGGACGAAAGUCGGGCUUAGUGAUCCGGUGGUUCCGCAUGGAAGGGCCAUCGCUCAACGGAUAAAAGCUACCCCGGGGAUAACAGGCUUAUCUCCCCCAAGAGUCCACAUCGACGGGGAGGUUUGGCACCUCGAUGUCGGCUCGUCGCAUCCUGGGGCUGUAGUCGGUCCCAAGGGUUGGGCUGUUCGCCCAUUAAAGCGGCACGCGAGCUGGGUUCAGAACGUCGUGAGACAGUUCGGUCCCUAUCCGUCGCGGGCGCAGGAAAUUUGAGAGGAGCUGUCCUUAGUACGAGAGGACCGGGAUGGACACACCGCUGGUGUACCAGUUGUUCCGCCAGGAGCAUCGCUGGGUAGCUAUGUGUGGCAGGGAUAAACGCUGAAAGCAUCUAAGCGUGAAGCCCCCCUCAAGAUGAGAUUUCCCAUUUCUUCGGAAAGUAAGAUCCCUGAAAGAUGAUCAGGUAGAUAGGUUUGGAGUGGAAGUGUAGCGAUACAUGGAGCGGACAAAUACUAAUCGAUCGAGGACUUAACCAA
rnacentral:rRNA from 1 species